rnacentral:rRNA from 1 species
UACGAAGGGGGCUAGCGUUGCUCGGAAUCACUGGGCGUAAAGCGCACGUAGGUGGAUCGCUAAGUCAGGGGUGAAAUCCUGGAGCUCAACUCCAGAACUGCCUUUGAUACUGGCAAUCUCGAGUCCGGGAGAGGUGAGUGGAACUGCGAGUGUAGAGGUGAAAUUCGUAGAUAUUCGCAAGAACACCAGUGGCGAAGGCGGCUCACUGGCCCGGUACUGACGCUGAGGUGCGAAAGCGUGGGGAGCAAACAGG